GACGUAUGCUGUAUCCCUUUUCUGAAGAGCACCUUAUACAAAUGGAGGCUGUGGACACCACUUCACCUAAACUGAAGAUGUUAUUUUCUCAAACUUCAGUUCCCCAGAAUUCAUCAUGGCAUGGUCUUGGAUCAGACUCUUAGCAUCAAUGUCCUGGCAGGAUCAUCGUCUUCAUUUACAACAGGCUAUCCAAACAAGCUAUGUUCAGAUGAACACAAUAUCCAGACCAUCUACUGAUUUCCAUGGGUUCCUUGGCCAGCAGAAUGGGAACUACUGCAUCAGCUUGUGGAGACAGUGUGCACACAUCUUCAUGCACCACAGUUGUUGGUUCCUUAUUUUGUUUCCAAUAUUCCAAGUGGUUCCCAUCAUCGUCCACAGUUAAACCCUAGCUAAUUAAAACAUGGAUAUAUGAGAAGUGGGAUGAUUUGUGUGUGUGUGUGUGAGGAUAGGAAAGCCAGAAAACUUGAAGCUUAUUCUUUUUCUGUUUACUCACAGAUAUUCUCAAAUAUCUGUUUCUGACUCCUGCAGAAGGUUUGACAUGUAUCACUCUGUGGAGAAUAAAGCUGCAGCCAAAAGCUGCACUGUCUGUGCUCCCCAGAACCUCUGGAACUCCUUGGCCCCUUGUCCCACCUGAAAGGGGCAAGUGAGGGCCUGCCCAGCAAAAGCAGAAACUAGACAAGAAAUAGAGGGAGCCAAAAAAACAAAAAACAAAAAACAAAAAACAAACAAACAAACAAAAAACAAAGAAAGAAAGGACCAUACUUGGGGAGCCAUACUUGGGGCAUUGGUUCCUGUAUCCUUCUUCCUACCUUCAGAAACCAACAGCACAGGAAGGCAGUGAGCUCUAGCCUGAGCCUGAAGGAGCCUGAUAGCUUCUGCUUGUGUUCUUCUGGAUCCCAGGCUGUUCUGUUGGAUGGAGAGUGACCAAGUAGAAGAGAACCAAGACACUCAGUUGACAGCUAAGCCCAGGCAUGUGAGUUAGGACAUCUUGGAGUUACCAACCUUGGGGAUGCCACAUAGACAAUCCUUUACCUGUGUUUCAAACAUCUCAGGCAACCUUCUCCUCCCACAUUCCCAAACCACAGAAUCAGAAACAAGAAAAUGGUGUUGUCUUGGGCUACUAAGUUUGAAAUGAUUUGUUAUGGAGC
rnacentral:lncRNA from 1 species